CCCAUAGAUGUUCUGGGCUGCACACGUGCUACACUGGCAGGUUCAGCGAGCUUCAUGCCCUGAUCUGAAAGGAAUGGGAAAUCUUUUCAAAACCUGCCGUGCUUGGGAUAGAUGUUUGCAAUUAUUCAUCUUCAACGAGGAUUGCCUUGUAAGCGCACGUCAUCAGCGUGCAUUGAAUACGACCCUGUAUUCUGUACACACCGCCCGUCGCUCCUACCGAUUGAAGUUUUCGGUGAGUUGACAGGAGGAUUUUUUUGAAACUGGUUCGCCAGUGGAUUUUAGAUCCAAAUGCCAACGAAUCGAUGGCUUUAGAGGAAGGAGAAGUCGUAACA
rnacentral:rRNA from 1 species